GACUGUUGUCAUAUCCUAAACUAACCUUCCUUCCUUCCUUCCNUGAGGCUGGAAAGGUGCGUGCUCGGAUUGCCGGAGGGCCGGUCUCGACCCGUGCGUACGGAAAUGAAGCUGCCGUUUGUGACGAGCGUGGGCAUCAGGAAGCCAGAUGAAUUUUUUUGGGAGUCUGUAAGAGCAUCAAGUAACUCUGUUCAGUCUCCUGUAUCUCGUCACCUAUGAAGAAUGUUAGAGUUGAAAUUUCAUGUUCAAUAGGACCAACUGUCGGACAACUUUAUCUUCUGGUCACAGAGAGCACCAAGUGCAUGUCCCAGAGGAGCAGCAUCCAGGACGCAUAACUUCUAGCAACAUUCCUGACAUCAAUAAUUUCAUCUGACCCAGAGCCCCACAGCCUGCUGGUGAAUUAAAGAUCUACAUGAAUGUUCUCUGGAAAAAAAGGGGGUAAGUGCC
rnacentral:lncRNA from 1 species